UAGUCAUAUGCUUGUCUCAAAGAUUAAGCCAUGCAUGUCUAAGUACAUACCUUUGCACGGUGAAACCGCGAAUGGCUCAUUAAAUCAGUUAUGGUUCCUUAGAUCGUUCUUUUUACAUGGAUAACUGUGGUAAUUCUAGAGCUAAUACAUGCAAAAAGCUCCGACCGUAUGGGAAGAGCGCUUUUAUUAGACCAAAACCAAUGGGGUCGCAAGAUCCCUUUGUCUGGUGACUCUGGAUAACUUUGUGCUGAUCGCAUGGCCUAGAGCCGGCGACGUAUCUUUCAAGUGUCUGCCCUAUCAACUUUCGAUGGUAAGCGAUUUGCCUACCAUGGUUGUAACGGGUAACGGGGAAUCAGGGUUCGAUUCCGGAGAGGGAGCAUGAGAAAUGGCUACCACAUCUACGGAAGGCAGCAGGCGCGCAAAUUACCCACUCCUAGAACGGGGAGGUAGUGACGAAAAAUAACAAUACCGGACUCAAUGAGGCUCGGUAAUUGAAAUGAGUACAGUUUAAAACCCUUAACGAGGAUCUAUU
rnacentral:rRNA from 1 species